rnacentral:rRNA from 1 species
CCCAAGGGUUCGGCUGUUCGCCGAUUAAAGUGGUACGUGAGCUGGGUUUAGAACGUCGUGAGACAGUUCGGUCCCUAUCUGCCGUGGGUGUCGGAGAAUUGAGAGGAGCUGCUCCUAGUACGAGAGGACCGGAGUGGACGCACCUCUGGUGGACCUGUUGUCGCGCCAGCGGCAUAGCAGGGUAGCUAUGUGCGGAAAGGAUAACCGCUGAAAGCAUCUAAGCGGGAAGCCUCCCUCGAAACUAGUUCUCCCAUGAGAGCUGUGGAAGACUACCACUUCGAUAGGCUGGGUGUGGAAGUAUAGUAAUAUAUGAAGCUUACCAGUACUAAUCGCUCGAUUGGCUUGAUUACACUCAUUAU